rnacentral:rRNA from 1 species
GACGAAGGGGGCUAGCGUUGUUCGGAAUUACUGGGCGUAAAGCGCGCGUAGGCGGCUCUUCAAGUCAGGCGUGAAAGCCCCGGGCUUAACCCGGGAAUAGCGCUUGAUACUGUUGGGCUUGAGUCCGGGAGAGGAUAGUGGAAUUCCCAGUGUAGAGGUGAAAUUCGUAGAUAUUGGGAAGAACACCAGUGGCGAAGGCGGCUUACUGGUCCAUAACUGACGCUGAGGUGCGAAAGCGUGGGGAGCAAACAGG